UAGACCUGGGGGCACCCUGACCGCAAUGCCGCGUGAGUGAAGAAGGCCUUCGGGUUGUAAAGCUCUUUUGUCAGGGAAGAAACACCGGCUCUAACACAGUCCGGGAAUGACGGUACCUGAAGAAUAAGCACCGGCUAACUACGUGCCAGCAGCCGCGGUAAUACGUAGGGUGCAAGCGUUAAUCGGAAUUACUGGGCGUAAAGCGUGCGCAGGCGGUUAUACGAGACAGGCGUGAAAUCCCCGGGCUUAACCUGGGAAUGGCGCCUGUGACUGUAUAGCUAGAGUGUGUCAGAGGGGGGUAGAAUUCCACGUGUAGCAGUGAAAUGCGUAGAUAUGUGGAGGAAUACCAAUGGCGAAGGCAGCCCCCUGGGAUAACACUGACGCUCAUGCACGAAA
rnacentral:rRNA from 1 species